GCCAGUGGAGGCCAGCCGAACACACAGAACUCAAGAAGUCUCCUGGAGUCAACGUAUCCGCAGAAAGCUGAGCAGCUAAUGUCAGAUGAGAAAUGCUUUAAGCUUCUUUGAUGCUUUGGGAAUGCAGUUGUAUAAUCUCCACCUAAUUCACUGCAGCAACUGUUACGUCCACAUUUCAAGGAGCCACUCCAGCAGUGUGUUAGAGCCCCCGGUGUCCUUGCCAAGCCAUUAAAUCCUGAGCGUGCUCCCAGGGAUGGGGUUUCACCGUGUUGCCCAGCCUGGUCUCAAACUCCCGGGCUCAAGUGAUCCUCCUGCC